CGAAGGGUGCAAGCGUUACUCGGAAUUACUGGGCGUAAAGCGUGCGUAGGUGGUUCGUUAAGUCUGUCGUGAAAGCCCCGGGCUCAACCUGGGAAUGGCGAUGGAUACUGGCGGGCUAGAGUGCGGUAGAGGAGAGUGGAAUUCCCGGUGUAGCAGUGAAAUGCGUAGAGAUCGGGAGGAACAUCAGUUGCGAAGGCGGCUCUCUGGACCAGCACUGACACUGAGGCACGAAAGCGUGGGGAGCAAACAGGAUUAGAUACCCUGGUAGUCCACGCCCUAAACGAUGCGAACUGGACGUUGGGAGCAAUCAGGCUCUCAGUGUCGAAGCUAACGCGUUAAGUUCGCCGCCUGGGGAGUACGGUCGCAAGACUG
rnacentral:rRNA from 1 species